rnacentral:ncRNA from 1 species
GGCGCGGUCAACGAGUCGGGUUGUUUGGGAAUGCAGCCCAAAUCGGGCGGUAGACUCCGUCCAAGGCUAAAUACAGGCGAGAGACCGUGAGCGAACAAGUACCGCGAGGGAAAGAUGAAAAGGACUUUGAAAAGAGAGUCAAAGAGUGCUUGAAAUUGCCGGGAGGGAAGCGGAUGGGGGCCGGCGAUGCGCCCCGGCCGUAUGCGG